rnacentral:rRNA from 1 species
GUGAGGAAUUUUCCGCAAUGGGCGAAAGCCUGACGGAGCAAUGCCGCGUGAAGGAUGAAGGCCUAUGGGUUGUAAACUUCUUUUCUCAGAAAAGAAUUAUGACGGUAUCUGAGGAAUAAGCAUCGGCUAACUCUGUGCCAGCAGCCGCGGUAAGACAGAGGAUGCAAGCGUUAUCCGGAAUGAUUGGGCGUAAAGCGUCUGUAGGUUGUUUAAUAAGUAUUCUGUCAAAGAUUAGGGCUUAACCCUAGAUAGGCAGAAUAAACUUUUAAGCUAGAGGUUGGUAGAGGCAGAGGGAAUUCCCGGUGGAGCGGUGAAAUGCGUAGAUAUCGGGAGGAACACCAAAGGCGAAGGCACUCUGCUGGGCCAAUACUAACACUGAGAGACGAAAGCGAGGGGAGCAAAUGGGAUUAGAAACCCGUGUAGUCC